UACGUAGGGACCGAGCGUUGUCCGGAUUCAUUGGGCGUAAAGAGCUCGUAGGCGGCCACUCAAGUCGAAUGUGAAACCUCGAGGCUCAACCUCGAGCCUGCAUUCGAUACUGGGCGGCUAGAGUCUGGUAGGGGGAUCUGGAAUUCCUGGUGUAGCGGUGGAAUGCGCAGAUAUCAGUAGGAACACCGGUGGCGAAGGCGGGAUCCUGGGCCAGUACUGACGCUGAGGAGCGAAAGCGUGGGUAGCAAACAGG
rnacentral:rRNA from 1 species